GUUUAAAUAGCUUAUAUUUAGAGCGUAGCACUGAAGAUGCUAAGGAAGUUAUAGAACUCUUAAACA
rnacentral:tRNA from 1 species